AGUACCACUCAUCCAUACGUCAUCAGCCUGAUUUGUAUAAACCACCCUGAACUGUGAAAUGCGGAGGAAAAAGGCUGAAAUAUGGCUUCUCCUCUGCGUACACCUCCAUAAAAAUAUGACUUUGCGUCAGAUCUGUGAUUAGUCCUCUCUUUUUAGUACCGUAUUUUUUAAAAUCCUUUUCUUUUUCUCAAAACUCGACAGUGCGCCUUAUAACCCGGUGCGCCUAAUGUAAGGAAUACGUUUGGUUGAGCUUACCCACCUCGAAGCAAUUCUAUUUGGUACAUGGUGUAAUGAUAAGUGUGACCAGUAGAUGGCAGUCAAACAUAAGAGAUACAUGUAGACUGCAAAAUGAUGGCAAUAUGACUCAAGUAAAAAACACCAACAUUUUAUAUGUUCCAUUGAGAAUACAGAACAUUACACACGGCGCUCAAAAAUCUAACAAAAUGUUUUAGUACGACGUUGGUAAGCUAUGAAGCCGCACCGCUUGAUGGAUUGUGUUGUCCGAUUAUUAUUAUGGUGUGUGUAUAGACAUAUUAUCUGGCGUUUUGUUUCACAAAAUUAUGCAAAAGCAACUUUUCUUACCUUCUGGUACCGGCUGAUCUGUAUUUGGGAUCUGCAUAAAUCCUGAAAAUUUGCGCGUGUCCGCCUUUGUAGUCCGUGACGACACCGUAGUCGAUAAGCUUCGUCUUUUCCUCUAUCUACUUGUUAUCUUCUGUUGCCAUUUCUAAUAUAAAGUAGUGUAAAGUUCUUACUUAUAUCUGUCAGUAAACUCACCAUGAAAGCGCUAAAACAUACCGGUGUAGUGACUAGUGAGUUUAAAUUAAUCACCCAAGGAACUUUAGUUAUUAGAGAGUUCCGGUCGGACGGUUUUUCACGGGACACAUUUCCGGCGUUGUUGUUGUUGUUUCCGGAUGAGGACAUGCUGCUCCGUGAUUGAUUGAAAGUAAAGUCUGAAUGUCAUUAAAACAGUUAGCUUCAUCUUUUGACACUUCUUCCACUGCCGUCCUCGCUACAACAAAGAUGACGGGGAGAAGACGCCGUCGAAGUGCUGCACAGAUGUUUCUGGAUUCUGAGUCAUGGGGAAGGCAAAAGAAUUGUCAAAGGAUCUGCGAGAAAAGAUAAGGAUCCAGCAGCUCCAUCAUGUACUGGAUGUCUGUGUCCAGCUGAGGCAUGUCACACUGCGCCACCACGUAAGUCAACAUGGGCAGGAAGUCAUCAGCACCGUACAUCCUCCCUGGAAGGAAGCAGACAGACGCCACGGAGUGUAAAGUAUGUGUGGUGGGAACACGGGUCAGGGAGGGGCCACAGGCAUGAUUGCUCUGAAACACCAGGGUAAUCCUUCUUUAAAAGUCUUCAGUCGGCAUUAUGUCAACAUGCACGGGUUGAUUUUCAAAACAAAGAACCUAUACCUGAGUUGUCCUGCAUGAUGGUGUAGAUGAGCUUGCACACACGCAGCAGCAGUGACACCUUUUUCUCAGGUGAGUACAUCUUGCUCAUGGUAAGGAACUUAUGUCGGAUUCUUUUAAUAGCCACAGGGUCCGGGGGCACCGCACCGUCCACCCCCAGCUCCUGGGGCCUCUUGGUCUUAGCAAGAGCCAGGUUCUCCUUCAUCUGCUGCCAUUCUCCACUGUUGACCUGACGAGAACAAAGUCAAUCAAAGUUUUUACUUAUAUAGCCCUAAAUCACGAGUGUCUCAAAGGGCUGCACAAGCCACAACGAUAUUUUUCUGUCUUGCCUCUGGUGAGGGCGGUCGCAUUUUUUCCCGCUCCCUUCUUCUCCCUGCUUGCUCUCUUUGUUUUUGUCUUGUCUACACUUUUUUUUGAAGCCUCUUUCUUUGCGCUGUCCUUCAAAUCCAAACAUCAGACAUGGAAAUGAUCAGCUGGACUCUCGACUCAAUUGACAAAAUCUUUUCGACGAGGAAAAGAGGUUCGGGGGAGCCUGGCUGCCCUGAUGGAACCAUUGCUGAGAGAUUCCUGGGAUAAAUGGAGAAUCAUGUGCCUGUCAGUCCUUUCCAUCGAGGACGUGGAAGACAUCUACCUAUUUGGAACCCCACGCCUUCACCACCGCUUAAUUCCCCUUCGGGUGAUGGACGGCUGGCAGCGCUUCAUAGCAGCAGUCGACCUCCAGGGUCCCAACUCUCCCCCCCUAUGUUGCGAGUUGUCGUGAAUAAAUGUAACAUGUUUAUGUGUGCAUGGCAUUGAGUUUUUUUCCCACUCCAGACUAGGCCCCCUUAGGAGCCCAGUCUAGAUUGUAUUUUUUUACUCAUCUUUUUACCUUUUUCUUAUCUUUUACGGGGCGCCUCGUGGCGACCCAUCAGCGUUCCUGUUCU